rnacentral:rRNA from 1 species
GAUGAACGCUGGCGGCGUGCCUAAUACAUGCAAGUCGAGCGAACAGACGAGGAGCUUGCUCCUCUGACGUUAGCGGCGGACGGGUGAGUAACACGUGGAUAACCUACCUAUAAGACUGGGAUAACUUCGGGAAACCGGAGCUAAUACCGGAUAAUAUAUUGAACCGCAUGGUUCAAUAGUGAAAGACGGUUUUGCUGUCACUUAUAGAUGGAUCCGCGCCGCAUUAGCUAGUUGGUAAGGUAACAGCUUACCAAGGCAACGAUGCGUAGCCGACCUGAGGGGGUGAUCGGCCACACUGGAACUGAGACACGGUCCAGACUCCUACGGGAGGCAGCAGUAGGGAAUCUUCCGCAAUGGGCGAAAGCCUGACGGAGCAACGCCGCGUGAGUGAUGAAGGUCUUCGGAUCGUAAAACUCUGUUAUUAGGGAAGAACAAAUGUGUAAGUAACUAUGCACGUCUUGACGGUACCUAAUCAGAAAGCCACGGCUAACUACGU